AAUCCCAAACUACGCUGCCGCUGUCAUGUUCAUCUAUGGGACAUUUUUUUGCUUCAAGGUUUUAUUUGUCACUUAAAAUUGAAGAUUAGCCUGCCCUACAGUAAAAAUGGCAUACAUAAAAUAAAAAGAGUAAAGCAAUAGGCCUAUAUUUAGCAGCAAUAUACAUUUAAGCAUCAAAGAUGUUCAAUUAAAUCCACAUCAUAGUUUCAUUACAUUCAAAUACAUUCAUACAUUCAAAAACACACAUGGCCAGUAUCACCAAGCAUAAAGUCUGCUAGCACAAUGCUAACGUAUAAUGUAAAACCUCAUAGGCAGGCUAACAGAUGGGCUAGUUUGUGGCAAUCAACAGCGAUAUCAGUAAAGCUGCUAAAAGCUGUUCUAAUCCUGGCUUUAGGGCUGCUAACAUGUCAGUUUAACCCAGAGCAGAGUCUGUGGGACCCUUGACCGGGGACCAGGGCAAAGGCUGUCACAGCAGCAGCAGCAGCGACAGUCUCCUGAUCUGAUCGCCUGGGGCCAACCUCCGUCGUCAUCCCAGGGGAGAAAACAAGCAAAGUAACUUAUCCACACACUUUUAGUUUUAACGCGUUUUACCGCUGGCUGGUUAAACUGUUUUUAGGAGAUUAAUGUUGGUCUCAUUGAUGGCAUAUAACAACUGUGGCAGUCGCAUUAGUUUGUCUGAAUGAAAAGUGUGCAGGGCUGUCUCUGGGCUAAUGUUACAUCAAUCGCUCUGGCUAUGUUGUCCGAGGUGCCUGAAAACUUAAGGCCCGCCCGACUCUGCUCCGAUUGGCUAGAACUCCUUGGUUACCUUGAGUAUCAUUGGUAGUUGGAACUAUCACUUUAAACAGCUGGUUACAGUUUUGUUUUUUUAAAUCAUGAUGAUGUGGCAACAUGAUUUAAAAAAAAACAAAAAAAACACUUAACCAAAAUAUUGCUACGCCGGAUUUCCGGCACCGUGCCAGAGGUCUUCAAGCCCUGAUAAUAAGAUAAUCGGCAACAGUAAACGGAGACGCUGGCCCAGGCAAACAACACCUCAUUCUAGAAUGGCUACAAACAAUGCUUGACUCAAAGCUUGGCUUUUCAAGCUAGGAGUGCUUGCUGCUUUCUAGGGGCUGUCCUGGGGUGAAAAAUAAAGAGAAAGGGAUUGAGUCAAUGUCAUGGUGUAGCAGAGGAGAAAACAUGUCCCUUUGCUAAAGUAGAUUUUUGUUUUGUUUUGCAAAUUAAGUGUUAUGACAGACAAUUUUCCCAACAUGGAUUCAUUUGAUGAAAAAUCCUUGUGACGGCCCCAGGCCUGGGUGUUGUGUAUAGUGCACUGUUGGUGGUUGUCUGUUUGUUUGUUUUGCAGGUCUGAUGCAGUGGUCAUUAGGUUGACAGGGAGCACCUGGCCAGUGUUCCCAGUCGGGCCUAUUUUACCCCGCCUUCUUUGACGCCAUCUCUCUCUGUUCGGCACUCCACGCAGCACCUUGCCAGCGUGCUGGUUUUCCUUUUGUUUGUACUUAUUUUCGCACUUACAACAUGCACUUCACAUUAACCAUUACACCCAUACACUUUCCUACACCACUGAUACUGACUUCCACAUCCCACAUGAUUGAGUUUUCCUUAUGAGUCUUAUUUACUUUAAAUAAACUUUGUUUAAUUAUUAACUAAGUUUGGUUGCACAUCUCCUCUUUUGUUGCGGCCCACGAGCCGGUCGUAACAAAUUGGGGGCUCGUCCGUCUCGAAGUGAGUUGGUGUCGGAGCAGCAUGCUGACAGUUCCCUCAAGAGUUUGCUGGACGUGGUGCGGCCUUCUGGGGAGCUUCAAGGAUCCAGUUGCUGAGGCAGUGGGAGAACGGAAGAUUGUAGGGGACAUAAGCGGUGAGGUAUUUAGUAUUAUUGCAGUUAUUAGUAUUGUGUUAGGAGUGUAGUUUUCAGUAAGUAUAGAGGUACCCUAUACAGUGAGUUUAUAUAGUGUGGCAGUUUUGGAGCCAGGGUUCCCUUUGGGGACCCUGACUUUAUGGGGGGGGGUGUGACGGCCCCAGGCCUGGGUGUUGUGUAUAGUGCACUGUUGGUGGUUGUCUGUUUGUUUGUUUUGCAGGUCUGAUGCAGUGGUCAUUAGGUUGACAGGGAGCACCUGGCCAGUGUUCCCAGUCGGGCCUAUUUUACCCCGCCUUCUUUGACGCCAUCUCUCUCUGUUCGGCACUCCACGCAGCACCUUGCCAGCGUGCUGGUUUUCCUUUUGUUUGUACUUAUUUUCGCACUUACAACAUGCACUUCACAUUAACCAUUACACCCAUACACUUUCCUACACCACUGAUACUGACUUCCACAUCCCACAUGAUUGAGUUUUCCUUAUGAGUCUUAUUUACUUUAAAUAAACUUUGUUUAAUUAUUAA